rnacentral:rRNA from 1 species
CAGCCGCCGCGGUAACACCGAGGGUGCGAGCGUUAAUCGGAUUUACUGGGCGUAAAGCGUGCGUAGGCGGCUUUUUAAGUCGGAUGUGAAAUCCCUGAGCUUAACUUAGGAAUUGCAUUCGAUACUGGGAAGCUAGAGUAUGGGAGAGGAUGGUAGAAUUCCAGGUGUAGCGGUGAAAUGCGUAGAGAUCUGGAGGAAUACCGAUGGCGAAGGCAGCCAUCUGGCCUAAUACUGACGCUGAGGUACGAAAGCAUGGGGAGCAAACAGGAUUAGAGACCCCUGUAGUCCCUGUCUCUUAUAC